rnacentral:rRNA from 1 species
GACGAACGCUGGCGGCGUGCUUAACACAUGCAAGUCGAGCGGUAAGGCCCUUUCGGGGGUACGACGAGCGGCGAACGGGUGAGUAACACGUGGGUGGCCUGCCCUCCAGCUCUGGGAUAAGCCUGGGAAACCGGGUCUAAUACCGGAUAUGACUCCAUGACGCAUGUUGUGGGGUGGAAAGCCUUGUGCGGCUGAGGAUGGGCCCGCGGCCUAUCAGCUUGUUGGUGGGGGUGAUGGCCUACCAAGGCGACGACGGGUAGCCGGCCUGAGAGGGCGACCGGCCACACUGGGACUGAGACACGGCCCAGACUCCUACGGGAGGCAGCAGUGGGGAAUCUUGCGCAAUGGGCGAAAGCCUGACGCAGCGACGCCGCGUGAGGGAUGACGGCCUGGUGUAACU